rnacentral:lncRNA from 1 species
UGUAUUUCUGAGCAAAUAAAUGAAGCUUUGGUGAGCAUAAGAACUUUUUUCAAAAGCAUUAAAAAAUGGUAAUGUACACAAGGAUGAGUAAAUCGUGACAUUAUUUUCAUUUUAAGGUGAAAUGAAUAUCAGGACAAUCUUAUCUUUUCAACCACUCAAGGCUCAGAAACUCUGUGCUCUUACUAUCUAGUGUUCUUAAUGGGUAAAGCAGCUGUUGAGGGAGUAUUUUGUUUUUCCAUCAAUCAUUCUCACAUUCCACUGUGUUAGGAAAUCACAGUGAUUUUGGGAAGCCUGGUAUGUAAACAGUCCUUAUCAAUUUCCCUUGUAAGCUUCAGUUUGUACUGCUUUUAAUUAGUCCUGUGCUCCAUCUUCCCUGUCAGUGGAGUGAGUAGACGUACGGCCUCACGCACAGCAUGGAUGAUUGACUUACAGUAUGAUGUGCUCAGCCGCUGGCACAAGCUGAAAUACACGGCACUGUGCUAGGCCUAUCUUUCUGUAUUUCUGCCAAUAAAGCUGUUUUAUACAGAAAUCCCCAACAGAGACCCUAAAAGGCAUGACCCAUAUUCAGUCUGCCGCAACACCCUGUGUUGCAAAACCCCCAGUGGCUUUGCUGCCUGAAAUAGUCAAUAAAUGCAAUUAAGUAAUCUCACUAUUCUAAUUCUAUUCUUAAAAAAAAAAAUAAUCUAACUACCUUUCUAAUCUUUUUUGUAUUCUUUUCAUUUAUUAUACAAUUAUAAAAAAAGACCUCUAACACUAGCUUGCUCUAUUCUUUUUCUAUUAUAUCUGUUUUCUUUUUAUUUAUUAUAUUAUUUAAAAGCCCUUGCUACGUGUACUGCGUUUAAGCUAACUGAGACUUGUUAUAGCACUUAUAUAUCAUUGCUGUUUUGUUGUUUUUGAUUGCUUCCAUUGUCCUCAUUUGUAAGUCGCUUUGGAUAAAAUGACUAAAUGUUAAAUGUAAGUAAUGCAUAUGAAUUUGCUGUUGUAUUUUAAUGAAGUCCUUUUUGUUCCUGUUCCUGUCACUGUCAUACCAGAUGGUCACCUCUGUCCUUUAAAAGAGUUGUUGUGGUUGACUGGUGUUAAAAAACAGGAAAGAGAAAAAAAGGAGUGAAUGGAUUUUUAUAAUUGUUGAAUGGUUGUGUCCACACACUGCUAAGACACAUUAAUAUGCAGAUACCAUGUAAAUAAAACUGAGUCGGAGAUCCCCUGUGUGCCUUGGACUAGUUCAAGAAAAAAAAAAAAUAAUCUAACUACCUUUCUAAUCUUUUUUUGUAUUCUUUUCAUUUAUUAUACAAUUAUAAAAAAAGACCUCUAACACUAGCUUGCUCUAUUCUUUUUCUAUUAUAUCUGUUUUCUUUUUAUUUAUUAUAUUAUUUAAAAGCCCUUGCUACGUGUACUGCGUUUAAGCUAACUGAGACUUGUUAUAGCACUUAUAUAUCAUUGCUGUUUUGUUGUUUUUGAUUGCUUCCAUUGUCCUCAUUUGUAAGUCGCUUUGGAUAAAAUGACUAAAUGUUAAAUGUAAGUAAUGCAUAUGAAUUUGCUGUUGUAUUUUAAUGAAGUCCUUUUUGUUCCUGUUCCUGUCACUGUCAUACCAGAUGGUCACCUAUAAUUGUUGAAUGGUGUGUCCACUACACUGCUAAGACACAUUAAUAUGCAGAUACCAUGUAAAUAAAUGUGAAUUUUGCAUCCGAUAUACCCUUUUAAGGCCGCUGAUAUGACCCCAGUCUUCAUCUCAUUUGAGUGUAGCUAUAUCGAUAACCCCCCCCCCCCCCCCCCCCCAACAUAUUAUUUAAGUAAAUUCUAAUUGUAACAGGAAAUAUUACAAAUUUUCUUAAUUUUAUUUACAAUUUCUUUACCCAGAUUUCCUACUGCUAGGCACAAGUGCUGUU